rnacentral:miRNA from 9 species
GCAUCAAGGGGGCUGUGAUGUG